UCCUACGGGGGGCAGCAGUGAGGAAUAUUGGUCAAUGGACGCAAGUCUGAACCAGCCAUGCCGCGUGCAGGAUGACGGCUCUAUGAGUUGUAAACUGCUUUUGUACGAGGGUAAUAUCGGAUACGUGUAUCCGCUUGAAAGUAUCGUACGAAUAAGGAUCGGCUAACUCCGUGCCAGCAGCCGCGGUAAUACGGAGGAUCCAAGCGUUAUCCGGAUUUAUUGGGUUUAAAGGGUGCGUAGGCGGUUUUAUAAGUUAGAGGUGAAAAUUCGGGGCUCAACUCCGGACGUGCCUCUAAUACUGUAUG
rnacentral:rRNA from 1 species